rnacentral:rRNA from 1 species
AUUGAACGCUGGCGGCAGGCUUAACACAUGCAAGUCGAACGAGUGGCGGACGGGUGAGUAAUGCGUGGGAAUCUGGCUUAUGGAGGGGGAUAACGACGGGAAACUGUCGCUAAUACCGCGUACCAUAGGAUGAGCCCAAGUGGGAUUAGGUAGUUGGUGGGGUAAAGGCCUACCAAGCUGACGAUCUCUAGCUGGUCUGAGAGGUUGACGAGGCCAACCUGGACGGAGAAACGGCCCGUAGUGCACCGGGAGGCAGCAGUGGCGAAUAUGGCGCGAUGGGGGCAACCCUGAUGCAGCCAUGCCGCGUGAAUGACGAAGGCCUUCGGGUUGUAGAGUUCUUUCGGUAUUGAGGCGUUAAAUACAGAAGAAGCACCGGCUAACUCCGUGCCAGCCGCCGCGGUAAUUC